GCCUGGCUUUGCCGUUUCCUUUGGCAGCUCCCAAGACCUGAGGGUAGGAGUCCUGGGCAGCUAGGACCUGCCAGGCCAUCCUGUAUCUCCCAUGGGGUUCACGACCCAGGGACCCCUGUUCCUAUCUGAGAGGAUCACUUCUUCCUGAAGCUGGAACCCGAUACUUGUUGGUGCCAACAACUGAAACCAGAUGUGCAGACACACAUGUCCCUGCAGACACACGUGUUCAUGUGGGGCACAUGUGUCCGUUUGGAGGCCAGAAGUCAACCUCAGUAUUGUUCACUCAGCAAAUAUUGAACAAUAUUCUUUGGCACCGAGGACUCAGUCUAGCAAGGAAAUGAGCUGUCAAACAAACAUGACGCACCACAAGCCCGGGGCAUGUGGGAAU
rnacentral:lncRNA from 1 species